rnacentral:rRNA from 1 species
CGGAGGGUGCAAGCGUUAUCCGGAUUCACUGGGUUUAAAGGGUGCGUAGGUGGGUUGGUAAGUCAGUGGUGAAAUCUCCAGGCUUAACUUGGAAACUGCCAUUGAUACUAUCGAUCUUGAAUACCGUGGAGGUUAGCGGAAUAUGUCAUGUAGCGGUGAAAUGCUUAGAUAUGACAUAGAACACCAAUUGCGAAGGCAGCUGGCUUCACGAAUAUUGACACUGAUGCACGAAAGCGUGGGGAUCAAACAGGAUUAGAUACCCUGGUAGUCCACGCCCUAAACGAUGGAUACUCGACAUACGCGAUAUACAGUGUGUGUCUGAGCGAAAGCAUUAAGUAUCCCACCUGGGAAGUACGAUCGCAAGAUUG